UUGCGGCCGUAUCACGUUGAAACACCGGUUCUUGCACGAUCACCGAAAUUUAACAAUGUCGCGCCUGCAUAGUACCUAGGUGGGUGACCGCUUGGUAAUACCAGGU